rnacentral:rRNA from 1 species
ACUCCUACGGGAGGCAGCAGUGGGGAAUCUUCCGCAAUGGGCGAAAGCCUGACGGAGCAACGCCGCGUGAAUGAUGGAGGCCUUAGGGUCGUAAAGUUCUGUCCUUAGGGAAGAAAAAUCAUAGUAGGUAAUGACUAUGAUCUGACGGUACCUUUGGAGGAAGCCCUGGCUAACUACGUGCCAGCAGCCGCGGUAAUACGUAGAGGGCAAGCGUUGUCCGGAAUCACUGGGCGUAAAGGGUAUGCAGGCGGAUAGAUAAGUCAAAUGUGAAAUGUACCGGCUCAACCGGUAACUUGCAUUUGAAACUGUUUAUCUUGAGUACAGGAGAGGAAAGCGGAAUUCCUAGUGUAGUGGUGGAAUACGUAGAUAUUAGGAAGAACACCAGUGGCGAAGGCGGCUUUCUGGCCUGAUACUGACGCUCAUAUACGAAAGCUGGGGGAGCAAACGGGAUUAGAAACCCCAGUAGUCC